CUGGGAGCCCUUCCAGCUGCUGCCGAGCGCGGGCCGCACGCCCAGGGGGCUCCGCUCGCCUGGCCCGCGUCGCCGCCUGCAUUGCGUCGAAGCUGGCCCGUUUGCAAUGCCCCCUCGGACCCAGGGUGGCUGCUGCUGUGCGUGGGUUUAAACCCCACCGGGAGCUCGGGGGAGGGCAGGGCUGCUCCAAUGGCAUGGAGGGGAGGAAACAUGCGAUCGCCCCUUUCCCCUCCUCCUCCCACCCCAUCCCAGCGCCGCACCGCACAGCUCUCAGGUUUCUGCUGAUCCUGCAGAGUCAAGAAAUGGCUCGAGUUUGCCCCUUGCUCUGCUUGUAUUCCGCAGCCGCCUCGUCUCUGCCACGCGCGUCCCGCUCCUUCCUGCCGCUGCGGCUCUAGCCAGGGUGAGCCAAGAUCUGCGCUGGGGACGCAGCUGCAGGGCUGCGGCUUUCCCCCUUCCCUGCUGCUGCCCGGCUCUCUUAAGGGCACAGGCAGAAGGAAAGCGAAAGAGCCGCUCGCCGCGUCCUGUUUGUUUGGACGCGAUCCGUUUGGGCGGGUGCCCCUUCCUCUCCCCAUCGUUACCCGCCUGGUUCCCAGCGCCGCCGAAGCUGGCAGAUGAAUAUUUCAGCAUCUCGCAGGCAGCCCUGUAAAGCGAUCUCGGCAGGGGCACAGGCGGAGGAGGAGGGUGAGUUUGCUGCUGCGCUUUUUGGAUGCUGCCGCUGCUGCUGCGACUUGACGCAUUCCGGCAGGGUCUCCCGGUCCUCAUCCCUCCAGCUGACCCGGGGGGCAGCCUCCAGCGACUGCCCCGAAGCGAGCUUUAUUCCCCCAAACCAAGAGGCGGGAGGCCAGUGGAAAUUGCUGUGUUGGCAUCGCAAACAAUCGCAUCCCAGCCCCCCCUUUUAUUUAUUUAGUUUGGUGGUAACUCCGUGGCAGCAGCAGCAGUGAUGGUCAAGUCAGCGAGAAAAGCAGCAGGACCUUAUUAAAGGCAAAAGGAACCGGCUGGGGAGGGGAGCCCAGCCUGGAGUGUGUGAUUGACACCCCCCAAAACCUUCUACCUUGGGACACACACAGGGGACCCCUCAUGCCUCCUUCCCAUCUCCUCUUUCCCCUCUGAAGUUCUCCAACCCUUAUCCCUCCCUUUCCUGAUUCUCUCCAUCCCAGCCCCCUUUUCCCUCAUCUAUUUCUCCUUCACCUUUCUGGGGUUUUCUAUCCCUGAUCCUCAUCCUGUGCCCCACCACCACCACCCUUAAAGCUCUUCUGGAUCCACCAUCCCUCCUUACAUCCUCUAAGGCUUUGCAUCCGAGACUCCCCAUCCUUCUCCCCUGAGGCUCUCCCCUCUGGGGGCUCUCCAUUUCAGACUCCUCUCACCCACCCAAGGUGUCCCUCUAUAUCCCUGAGACU
rnacentral:lncRNA from 1 species